UCUUUGUGCCCAUGUGUUCUCAUCAUUUAGCUCCCACUUAUAAGUGAGAGCAUGUGAUAUUUGGUUUUUUGUUCGUGCAUUAGUCUGCUAAGGAUAAUGUCCUCCAUCCACUUUCCUGCAAAGGAUAUGAUCUCAUUCUUUUUUGUGGCUGUAUAAUAUUCCAUUGUGCAUAGGUACCACAUUUUCUUUAUCCAGUCCACCAUUGAUGGACAUUUAGGUUGAUUCCACAUCUUUGCUAUUGUAAAUAGUGCUGUAAUGGACGUUUGCAUGCAUGUGUCUUUAUGGUAGAAUGAUUUACAUUUUUGACCCAGCAAUCCCAUCACUGGGUAUACACCCAGAGCUUUAAGUCUUUCAUGGAUGACAUAGCAUAGCUUUUGUUAGUCCAAUAAUCUGUACCCAGAAAGAAGAGGCAAAAAUCCCAUCAAACAGACCAUCAGUGCUCCAUAGCCAAUGCUUAUUCAUUUUGUUUAAUACUUUUUUUAAUUGGGAUUCUCCAGAACUUUAAAAAUUUAAAAAUAAAACAAAAAUAGUCUAACUACGCUCCAGACAUAGCACCUACCACAUAGUAGGCUCUUAAUUUAAAAAUUGUUGACUGACUUAUUGAAUAGCCUGCAAAGGUCUGUCUUGCGUCUAAUAAAUGUAUUGACUCAUUUCUCUUUCCAUUCAUUUAUUCAAUAACUAAUCAGUAAUUAAAAAGAAACACGGAGGAAUGCAUCAAUACACUUAUUAGAAAUAAAAUAGGCUGUUGUAGGUUAAUUGGAAACCUAGCCACUCUAUCUCAUAUUCUGUAUACGUAAGUUGGAGACUGCCAUAUGUUACACAUGUAUGUGUGAUGUGUACUUAAAAUAUAUGGCAUUUCUUCAUAUAAUUUGAAAUAUCUCUGUGAAGUUCAAUUUGCCUAAUUUUUAUAUUAGUUAACCUUUUCCUCCACCGGGAUAACUUCAGUUGGAAGAUGUUUCUACUGUCAAUUGAAUUUUGUAAUUCACUGUGUGAGAUAGAAAAAGACAUGGUUUCUAUACAUAAGGGGUGUGAUUUACAAGAGACUAUAUGCAUGUAUAUAAUGUGGAAAUAGUGCAAGGGACAAACCCAUACUUGUGGUUGCACAAGAGAGCUGGGGAAGAGUCCCACGGGGGUGUGCGUUGUGGGAAAGUUCUCCAGGGAAGACAACAUUUGAUUGUCUUGUGGUUGCUAAAAGGAUUCUUUUGAUGCCAGAUGGGCUUGAGUCCAAAUCUUGGCUCUAAAAUUUCCUUGCUGCCAUUUUGACCUUGGGCAAAAAUAUUAACCCCCGAACCUCCAUUUCUUCAUCUAUAACACAGCAGUAAAAUUACUCAUCUCUCUAGUCAUACUAACGGUUGUGAAAAAUGUCUGUUCUCUGAAGGUUUGGUGGGUUUCAAUAGAAGAAAAUAAGGACGUUGGAAGUGGGAAGUUAAGGAUGUCAGAGGCAAAAACAAAAAUGGGCAGGGCAAGGCAUGGCGUUUUCUCUGAAAACUUUACUUAAUCUUUUUAAAUAUUAGUUAUCGAUGUAUCUAUAUUUCAAAGUGCCAGACAUAAAGCCAUAUCACCUUCAGUCUAGUAAUAGUCAUGUACGGUGCUACUGUUGCAGGUCCGGGAAAAAUUCAGGCCAAUGUGAGCCUUUGAUCGCCACUGGAACAGUAAAUUGCAGCAGCAACAUCUAACUAGGAGUGCUGACUGCACCUCCAGCAGGCUCAGACUUGCAUGGCUGCCUGCGGGAAUGCAAAGCGUUUCUCUUACUCACAACCCUCCCCCUCACUCAUUGAUAGCCUAGGGCCAGAUUGGAUGUGGAGAACAUUAUUCCAGUAAAACGUGCAUUAAAAGAACACUCAAGGAGUUUAUUUUUUAACAAACUCAUGUUGUGUAAAAUGAGAUGAGGAUCUCAGAAACAGUUUUCUUGGCAUGGGCUGAGGACACGAAAUGAAAUUCUGCUGCGUCAUCUACUUUGAAGCAAGAAAAUAAUACUUUGACCUUAUGAAUGUAUUUGAUUCUAGGGAUAAAUAAACCACCUUAGAAGAUUACACAAUUCCCUUGGAUGACAAGUUAACUUUUUUUGGAUAAUGAUGGUCUGUGUAUAAGGGGAUCCAAAAUGCUACCUGUGCAUUAGUGAAUUAAUCAAAAAGUUUUUCUGGGUUUCCAAAGAGUCUACCACUGUUAUCGUAGUAUUCCUCCAUAAGGGCUCCAUCCACGGGUACCACUGGGAACUUCUGGCUGCAUUAAGAAUAGCCUGCCCAGGUCAAAAACUUACAAAGCUGCACUCAAAGAUUGCUUGAGUCCAACCUUUCACUUCUUCCUUCGUACCUCAAGUGUAGUCAUGGCAACCACCCUAAAGAAUAAAUAUAAACGUGAUGCCUGUGCCAAAGGUGAGUAAUUUGGAUCUGGUUGUGGCAGGAAAGCUGUUUUUAGGGGAGGAGGAGGAGGAGAAAAUAAAAGGAAAAGAGCAUUAUUUUUCUCCACUAAUCCCCUAUGAUUUGAUGUUUUUUACCAUAGAAGAUAAGAUUAGAAAGAGAAAAUGGAGGCUUUGUGAAGUGAUUAAAUCUCAAGGAGGCAAAAAGAAAGUCAAGUCUUACUGAUGGGUUCUGAAUCAGCUUAUGAAUUAUCUUCUGGCUUUCAAAGGGACUGCGUUAUUGAUGUGAUACCUUCCAUUUAUCUUUCUGCAUAUAUCAUACCUCUCUUUCAUUAUAAAGAAUAAAUCCUACUAUAAACUUUCUUGGUCCAUUACAAAAAAAUUGAUUUUUUGAUUUGUCCAUAAUAAACCCAGUGUGGAAGACUUCCUUUAUCUCACUAAACUUUUUUGGGGGGUCUGAUAUCAGUUACUCCCUUGGGAGCCAAUGUCAGGAUACACAGCACGGAAAGAGGGAAACGUGGAAGGACAGUCUCAUAGGCCAAGACCCCAAGUAACAUAGUUGAUCUGGCAUCAAGUGGCCAUCUCAGAAGUGUGACACGCUUCCUGUAUUAGUCUGUUUUCACACUGCCAAUAGAGAUAUACCUGAGACUGGGUGAUUUAUAAAGAAACAGAGGUUU